AUGGAAAUUCUCAAUGACUGUUCUGAUGUGGAUGAGAUCAAAUUCCAAGAAGAUGGUUCUUGGUGUCCGAUGAGACCGAAGAAAGAAGCUAUGAAAGUAUCCAGCCAACCAUGUACAAAAAUAGAAAGUUCAGGUGUCCUCAGUAAGCCUUGUUCAGUUACUGUAGCCGGUGAGGUAAGCAAGAAGAAAGUGGAUGUUAUCGACCUAACAAUAGAAAGCUCUUCUGAUGAAGAGGAAGACCCCCCUGCCAAAAGGAAAUGCAUCUUUAUGUCAGAAACACAAAGCAGCCCAACCAAAGGGGUUCUCAUGUAUCAGCCAUCUAUAAGGGUGCCUAGUGUGACUUCGGUUGAUCCUGCUGCUAUUCCGCCUUCAUUAACAGACUACUCAGUACCAUUCCACCACACCCCAAUAUCAAGCAUGUCAUCAGAUUUGCCAGGUUUGGAUUUUCUUUCCCUUAUUCCAGUUGAUCCCCAGGUAUAUACCUAGGAAUGGAAUUACUGGGUCAUGUGGUAUCUCCUCUUUAACAUUGAGGAACUUCCAGACUUUUCCAGAGUGGCUAAACCAAUUAAAUUACCACCAGCGUUGUAUCAGGUUUCCAGUUUCUUCAGUUCCUCAACAAGCUGAGCACAUUGGCAUGUAUCUCUAAUUCCAGCUACUUUUAAGGCUAAGACAGGCCGUCACUAGUUCAAGGCCAGCCUAGACAAUUUAGCAAGACUGUCUCAGAAUAAAAAAUGAAAAGAUUGGGGAUAUAGCUUAAUGGUAGGUGCCCCUGGAUUCAAUCCUGAGUCCCCCCCCAAAAAAAAAAUCCUUCCCAACAUUUAUUAUGGCUGUCCUACUGGGUUGGAAAUCUUACCUGAUAAUUGUUUCGGUUUGUAUUUCUCUAAUGAUUAAUGGAUGCUGACCCAUCUUUAUAUGUGCUUGCUCAUUUGCAUAUUUUCGCAGCAAUACUGUUUGAAUCUUUUCCCCAUGUUUUAAUUGGGUUAUUUGUCAAAAAUUUUUACUUCUGUAUUAUAAGAGUUCUUAGAAGUCUUCAUUAAGAUGUAUGAUUUGGAAGUAUUUUCUCCCAGAUUAUGCCUUGUCUUUUCACUCCCAAUAUUGUCCCUUGAAGCAUACAUUUUAUUUUAUUUUUUUGGUACCGGGGAUCAAACUCGGGGACCUUGCGCUUGCGAGGCAGGCAACAGAACCACUGAGCUAAAUCCCCGGCCCAGACAUUUUAAAUUUUGAGAAAAUCUCCAGUUUCUUUCUUUCCUUGUGUUGCUUAUGCUUUUGAUUUCACAGCAGAGUUUAUUGCCAAAUCCAAAACCGUGAACUUUUACCCUAUUUUGUCCAAAACUUUUAUAGUUUAACUCAUAUUUAGGGUUUUGGUCCAUUUUGAGUUGAUUUUUUAAUAUGACAGAGUCCACUUUCAUUUUUUGCAUGUGACUAUUCAGUUGUCCAUGUAUCAGUUGUUGAAAACAAUUCUUUCCUUGUUGAAUGGUCUUGGUGCCCCAUUAAAAAUCUGUCAUCUAUAGACACAUGAGUUUAUGAACUCUCCAUUGAUCUGUUUAUCCAUAUUCCAGUACCAUACUGCUAUGAUUACCAUUCCUUUGUGACAAGUUUUGAAAUUGGAAAGUAACAUGAUUGUUUUGUGUGUGUGUGUGUGUGUAUGUGUAUGAUUGUUUUGGCUAAUUCUGGGGUCCUUGCAAUUCCAUAUGAAGUAUAGAAUUCGCUUAUAAAUGACUAGGAAAAAGCCAGCUGGAAUUCUAAUAAAGAUUGAAUCUGUAGAUCAAUUUGGGAAGUGUUACUAUCUUAAUGGCUUAUGAACAUAGUGUGUUUUUCCAAUAAUUUAGAUUUUUUUUCAUUUCAACAAUGUUUUAUAGUUUCACAGUAUACAUUUAUACUGCUUUUGUUCUAUGUACUUCUAGACAUUUUAUUCUUUUUGCUGCUAUUGUAAGUGGAAUUGUAUUUUAGAUUACUGAUUGCAAGUAAGAAAAUACAACUGAUUUUUAAAAAACAGUCUUUGUUCUUUGAGUUAUCUCCAUACUGAUUUCCACAGUGGUUGCACCAGUCUGCACUCCCACCAACAAUGGAGAAGGGUUCCUUUCUCACCACAACCCCGCCAACAUUUGUUAUUGGUUGAUUUCUUGAUAGCAGCCAUUCUUUCUGGGGUGAGGUU
rnacentral:lncRNA from 1 species